rnacentral:rRNA from 1 species
UUAUACCGUGAAACUGCGAAUGGCUCAUUAAAUCAGUUAUCGUUUAUUUGAUAGUACCUUACUACUUGGAUAACCGUGGUAAUUCUAGAGCUAAUACAUGCUAAAAACCCCGACUUCGGGAGGGGUGUAUUUAUUAGAUAAAAAACCAAUGCCCUUCGGGGCUCUUUGGUGAUUCAUGAUAACUUAACGGAUCGCAUGGCCUUGCGCCGGCGACGGUUCAUUCAAAUUUCUGCCCUAUCAACUUUCGAUGGUAAGGUAUUGGCUUACCAUGGUUUCAACGGGUAACGGGGAAUUAGGGUUCGAUUCCGGAGAGGGAGCCUGAGAAACGGCUACCACAUCCAAGGAAGGCAGCAGGCGCGCAAAUUACCCAAUCCCGACUCGGGGAGGUAGUGACAAUAAAUACUGAUACAGGGCUCUUUUGGGUCUUGUAAUCGGAAUGAGUACAAUUUAAACCCCUUAACGAGGAACAAUUGGAGGGCAAGUCUGGUGCCAGCAGCCGCGGUAAUUCCAGCUCCAAUAGCGUAUAUUAAAGUUGUUGCAGUUAAAAAGCUCGUAGUUGAACCUUGGGCCUGGCUGGCCGGUCCGCCUCACCGCGUGUACUGGUCCGGCCGGGCCUUUCCUUCUGGAGAGCCGCAUGCCCUUCACUGGGUGUGUUGGGGAACCAGGACUUUUACUUUGAAAAAAUUAGAGUGUUCAAAGCAGGCCUUUGCUCGAAUACGUUAGCAUGGAAUAAUAGAAUAGGACGUGCGGUCCUAUUUUGUUGGUUUCUAGGACCGCCGUAAUGAUUAAUAGGGAUAGUC